AUUGAACGCUGGCGGCAGGCCUAACACAUGCAAGUCGAGCGAGCGGCGGACGGGUGAGUAAUGUAUGGGGACUGCCCGAUAGAGGGGGAUAACUACUGGAAACGGUGGCUAAUACCGCAUACUCUCGGUAAACCCAUCUGGGAUUGGCGGGUAGGUGGGGUAAAGGCUCACCUAGGCGACGACCUCUAGCUGGUCUGAGAGGAUGAUCAGCCAAACUGGGACUGAGAAACGGCCCAGACUCCUACGGAGGCAGCAGUGGGGAAUAUUGCACAAGGGGCGCAAGCCUGAUGCGCCCAGGCCGCGUGUAUGAAGAAGGCCUUAGGGUUGUAAAGUACUUUCAGCGGGGAGGCGUUACCCGCAGAAGAAGCACCGGCUAACUACGUGCCAGCAGCCGCGGUAAUUC
rnacentral:rRNA from 1 species